rnacentral:rRNA from 1 species
GACGAACGCUGGCGGCGUGCUUAACACAUGCAAGUCGAGCGGUAAGGCCCUUUCGGGGGUACACGAGCGGCGAACGGGUGAGUAACACGUGGGUGACCUGCCCUUAGCUCUGGGAUAAGCCUGGGAAACUGGGUCUAAUACCCGGAUAUGACUCCAUAACGCAUGUUGUGGGGUGGAAAGCCUUGUGCGGCUAGGGAUGGGGCCCNCGGCCUAUCAGCUUGUUGGGUGGGGUGAUGGCCACCGAAGGCGACGACGGGUAGCCGGCCUGAGAGGCGACCGGCCACACUGGGACUGAGACACGGCCCAGACUCCUACGGGA